rnacentral:lncRNA from 1 species
GACCGGUCCUUGGUGGGCAGGGACCGGUUCCCGAACGUUGGCCCGGCGAGACUUAGCCAAAUUUGGCUAAGUCCCGAGAAUGCAGCUCUCGGGAACCGGUCUCUCGGACAAGGACCGGUCUCCCGGGGACCGGUCUCUCAGGUAAGGACCGGUUCCCGAACGCGAAAUCCCCUCUGCUCGAAGUGGCAGCCUUCGGGGACCGGUCUCCCCGAGCUGGGACCGGUCCCUCACUGCGAAAAUGCCCAGAGAGGGCUGAUUCUAAAGAUGAAAAGUUGAGGGGGCUAUUUGCAAAAUGGCCUUUAAUAGGGCUUGGGGACCCCUCUCUUUCCCUCAGUUGCUCUCUUCCCCUCUCUCUCUCACUAUUCUCUCUCUCUAGGAAAGAAAAGAAAAGAAAGAGAAGAAGGAGAAGAAGGGAAAAAAGAAGAAGAAAGAGAAGGAGAAGACUAAGAAGAAGAGGAAAGUCAUCUUCUCUCCCUCUCCCUCAAGCUUGGAGCUUAGGUUAGAGGUAAGCUUCCAACCCUUUAAUGGAAAUUCUAGGGUUUUGGGUUUUUAUGGUUUAGAAUUGGUUCAAAUGGAACCUAUUGGGAAUGAAUAGAUGGUUCGAGCUCAAAAUCGAAGCUCGCACCGUGGAUUUCCCUCUCGUCGCCAUUCUAGGGCACGGAUUGGGAUUUUGGGAAAUAUAGGGUUUUGAUCGAUCUUAAUAGGUCGUAAACCAAAUUGCUAGGUCUCGAAACGCGUCGGCGAAGACGGUUUGCCGAUCCGACGAGCGGGUGCGGAGUUAUCGCCGAAUCGGGUACUCGAGGGCUCGCUUUGCCCCGAGGAGUUUAAGCGGCGUGCAAGAACCGCAACGUCGAGCUUUCUACUAUCGCAGCAUCGCCAAGAGGUGGGUGGUGUCCAUCCCGAAGCAAUCGGGCUCCCUCCUAUGUCUUAGUACAUUUUGACCCCGCAUCUUGUAUUAUUGCAUUAUAGGAUUAUUAUGCAUCGCCUUUCCUUAUGCCUUCCUUGAUGAUAUUGUAGCAUGUACUGGAUACUGAAUAUAGAGGAUUGGUGAGGAUUGGGUCGAGUCUUGUGAAUCCUAUAUUGUAGAGAAAAUAAUGAACAAAGAACGAGUGGCAUCUAGUCGAUAGUAAACAAUGGACGAGUGGCAUUUAGUUGAUAGUAAGCAAAAGAACAAAUGACACAUAUGUGAGUCAUAGUGUAUAUGAAACCUAUGAACUAUAUGAUGAUUGUGACCCUAGAGGACAGGGUAUCCUCAAGCUUAGAGGAUGGGAUCAUGCUCACGGUCUGUUUAAAUCUUGUGAUGGAAGCCCCACACAAGUAGUGCGCUCCGGAUGUUGGUCACGCCAGGGAUUGCCUAUUUGGCCCCGCCAGACGGUCUCGGGUCCGUAGUGUGAGUUAAUUCUCCCUACGUGUCGAGAUGGCUAGUGAGCUGUAGGCGAGCCUCCGGGUAAGCCACGAGAUUGAUGGACAAGUAAAUGAGGUAACAAUCGAGUGAAUAGCUUUAUCUUUGGACAUGAUAACCGGGUAGCUGCUUACCUAUUUCAUUGUACAUGCAUCAUAUAUUAUGAUUGGGCAUAGUAGAGUAGCUUUACUUCUGUCAUCUACCGCUUUCCUUAUCUAUUUAUCUAUCUAUUGGUAUAUCUACUUGUGCCCGCUUGGACCUAGUGGGGAGAUCGGCGGAGUCGGCGGCCGAACCCACUGGGAACUAAGGAAGUUAGUUCUCACCCCCAUUUUACUACAGGUUCCAGUUCGGGUGUCCCCGGUGAGCGUGAGGAUCGCGGUAAGGGCCCGGCGCUUUAGUAGCAUUAGCUACCUCCCUUUUUGCACUAGCCGUCACCCUUUUAUAUUGAGAGUAGAUGAUGUAUAGGGUGAGGUUCGAGUGAUUGUAUUUAUAUUUUGGAUGAAUGUAAAAGAUGUAAUUGAAUGUAUUAAGUCAAAUGGAUGUAAUAGAUAGCUCUUCUCUCUUUGUGUACUUGUAUAUGUUUCUAUACUUGUAUCUUGCUCUCGUUUGUCGCACUGGUGGUGCUUCUUGAUCGUGUAUUUAUGAAUUGAAUUCCUGGGUAAAUUCUCAUACAUGAUCUGUUGGUUGCCUUGGGCGGACAGGGGAGGUCCUGUCCGUUCGGCGUCUGUUUGACGCGCCCGGGCCGGACCAAAUUGGAGCGGUCACGGGGCGUGACACUAAACUUCAACAAAUUGCGGGGUUUUAGUGAGAAAACCAACACCUGGUGUUGUUAGAAAGACUUUGGUAAUGCAGAAGAUGUAUAGUGCGUUUCGGAUGAGUUAGCGCGAAAAUGAAAAUUUUGAAUUAAUCUAUACCUAAGCUUUUAUAGCCUCGGGGUCCGGACCUUGAUACUCUCUUUAUUGUACCAAAGAUCAAAGUCCAGACCUUGAAAGAGGAUCCGGGCCUUACGUGCGAAUUUCAGUUUGCAAGCUAUAAGGUCCGGACCUUGAGGGGAGGAUCCGGAUUCUGACUGCGCAGAACACAUAUUUGGAUAUACGGGAUUCGGACCUUACUAGAGAGUUCGGACCCUGCAUAGUUUGGGACUGUUUCAUGGGAAGUAUGAUUUCUCUCAUUUUGAGGAACCUAAAUGGAUUUGUCACUUAGUAGUAUAACCCACUUCACUUCCCCCUUCUCCUCUUAUUUGACAGUGCAAGAGAAGAGAGAGAAGUGAGUUCCCUUCCUCUUUUCCUUGGGUUUUUUUUCUCCAAACCUUUCCUAAUCCUUGGAUUUCUCCUUAUUUUCCUCUUUUCCUUGAGAUUGGAGCUUUAUUUAAGAUUGGUAACCUUCCUUCAUCCUCUAUUUGAGAGAUUUGUAAGGGUUUUGCGUAGAAAACCUAGUUUGUAGAAACUAGAGUUUAUUUUGGAAAUUUUCAAUUGUAAGCUUUUUGGGCUGAAAUUGAUAAAUGUAGAACACUUAUGAGGACUGAAAAGUUGACUAUGUAGCUAAACUCUUUGUUGAUGAUAUUUUUGUGUGUAAUUUAAUUACAUAAGCACUCGUCAAGUUUCAAGAGAAAACGAGUUAGGAUGAAGAAGUUGCGCGACCUUUACUAAUCACUUAAAGUGAAUAGUAACUCGGGUUUUUUCGGAGAGGCCAAUGAGUGGAGAUGGCUUCUGGUGCGUAUUCCACUUCGUGUAUAGUGAUCAACGGUUCGACUGUCCUAGACCCAAUAGCACUAACGGAUUUGGGUUUUGAUGCACGGUUUUCGAGAAAAGAGGUUGUAUCGCAAAAAGGGUUUUUGUUCUUUGCUGUUCUUGUGUUGUAAAACUUCUCGUGCUCCGUGCGUGUGUCUUGGAGUAGAGUGGAGAAUGUUUCAGGUACCUACCAGUGGUAGGGAAUUCAAAUUCGAGUUUGAAUUUGAGGUUUAUUGGUUUUACACUUAUAUAUAGGUGUGGUUUUCGGGAAAAUUGGAUAGGGGAUGGAUUUCGUCGCAAAUCGGCGACUAUAUCGAGUGAAACAAAAUUGUGAGUUCGAUGUCCCGGUCGUGCUGAACGCGUUGGCGCAGUCCGUUUGCAAAUCUGACAGACGGAUCUCCCGAAAAUUCAAAAUGUUCGCAAAGGGGUCGAAAUUGGCAAAACGAAAAAUUCACGAAAAGCCCCAUAUUUUAUGUACCGUUUUGCGUGAUUUCGAACGUUUAGAUGCGUACACGAGAAAUACACUCACUGUGAGGGACUUGGCUGAAAAUAUUCAUCUCUGGAGGACCAUGUUGCAAAAUGGCCAACUUAUAUGUAGGGAAAUUAGGGUUUCAUGCAUGAAACCCUAACCCUAGUAGCUCCGGCCACUAGAAAAGGGCUACAUUGCCUCCCUCUCCACCAAACCUCCACCAUCUCUGCUGUGGACCACUGGAAAGGACCCACACACCUCGAGCUCCCUCCCCCAGCCGUGGCCCCAUCCUCCGGCGACUCCCCCAGCCGAUCCCUGCCAUCCCCGCGCGCCGCCGUCGCCGUCUGGACACUUUGCGGCCGAGCUGGGUCAGCUUGGGCCGAGCCCAAGCCAUCCCUUAGCCCGCGCACUACCGCCACCUAGAACCAGCCGCGCCGCCCUCCCCCGACCUCCGGCGACUCCCUGUGCGCCGUCGCCCCAGUCCUUGCGGGCCGUCGCCGCCGCCCCGAAUUAGCUCGGGCCGAGGCUAGGUCUGCGUCGUCUCCUCGCAUCGCCGCCGCCUAGUAUCGGCCGCGCCGUCUCCGAUCGGCCUCCGUUGAACCACCACUGUCGCCCCGUAGCUCCCCGGCCACCGCUGUGGCCGCUGCGAACAGCUGAGCUUGAGCCGAGCUCAUGCGGGCUAGGGAUGCUCCAGCGCCGCCACCGCCACCUUCCAUCACCAGCCAGCGUGAGCGCCGGCUCUCCCUGGUCGGCCGCACUCGUCCGCCGCCGGAGCUCCCAGUCGGCCGGACUAGGCCCGUGCUCUCCACAGGUUCGUGUGGCUAGGGCAUCAAUGCCUGUCGUCGCCGGCCGACGUGCGCCCUAGCCUCCCUCCGUCUCCCGCAUCUGCCUUCCAUCGGUGCGCCCACCACCGAACCGCCGCCCUAGGCCCUCUCUACCAGGUAAGCUUAAAUGAAGCUAUUUUUGGGAGUUUUAGGGUUGUUCCCACUGUUCUGGCGACCCGGGGCUGUUCCGAUGCCUCCGGAGGUGAGCACGGUGAUCGUUGGUUAGUGAUGAUCAUAGUGCUCACCUCAUUUGGGGUCAACGAGCCCCGGAUGAGUGAAUUGGAAGCGUUUUGGUUUCAGUGCGCAGGGUUCGCUGAACUGUGAGUCACUCCCGCGCCUCCCAAAGUGGACAGUUGUGCUCCGAAUCAUGAGCACGGCCUCCGGCACGUCGAGACCUAUCAGCGUGUGUCUUGGCCAGCCUCGAAAAUUCUCGGUUUGUGCUAUUGAGCCGUAAAACCCUGAAAAUCACAUAAAAUAACGUGAUUUUAUAUGAUUGUAGGGACCUUUAUGCAAUUGUCCACUUCGUGGCUAAUGUGGGCAGUGUGUGCGGGUAGCGGGUGAUCUCUAGACUGAUUGUCCAAGGCCCGAGGCCUUUGCAAAAAUCGAAUAUCGAUUUCCGGUGCGUUUUUCGGCAAAAUCUACCGACGGAACGCGGUUUCGGUUCGGAUUUCUUCCGACAGUGCCUCACUGUAAUACUUUGUCGCUGAGCCUUAUUGGCUGGUCACUUACGUCGUUCCAAGGGUUCGGAGACGACGAGUGAGCGACGGUGGGUUCCAGUGUCGAAAUUGACAUUUUCGGAAACCCAGAUCGGAACGGUUAUCCGACGAUAAUCGUUCGAUGUGAGCCUUGUAUUUACUGCCAGGACACUUUAUUAUGGUGUUGUGUGGCAGCGGGUGACUCGUGGCGUGAGUCGGUGAGUUCCGGGACACUUCGUGGGUGUCACAUCCCGCUAUCGCCAAUUUGGUCGAUCCGGGCCCGUACACAGAUGCCGAACGGACAACACCUCCCCUGUCCGCCCAAGGCUCAACAAUAACGAGUACAUGUAUAAAGAAAUAAACAGUUCUCAGGAUAAUAUUUCAAUAUACAUGGCUUGCGCGAGGGCAAGCAAUAGGCACAAGUGAUAGUAAACUAACUAAACAUGCAUUCACUAUAUUUUGAACAACUUUAAAACCAAAACCAAUAACUAUAACUUCAGUUAUUUACACCAUUUACAUGCUCAUUUAUACAUCAUUUACAAGUUUUUUUAACAUGAAAUAUAUACAACAUGAAACCAAAAUGGAUAUAUGUCUAUACUCUGGUGUCUGCUAGCUAAGAUGCCGGGCCCUUGCCGCGAUCCUCGGCCACACCGCUCGCACUAGGACCUGUAUGGUUAGUGGUGUGAGAACUACUAAAAGUUCUCAGUAGGUUCGGUCGCCGACCUCGCCGACUCACUCACCAGGUCUAUUCAAGCAUAUGUAGGCAAGAAAAGUAAAUAGAUAGUAACCAGCUAUAACAUGUAACUAUACAAUGCCUGUACAAAGCUGAAAGAAACUGUAGAUAACAUAUGAAAUUUAUGCAUGCAUGCUAUGAAUAAUCAAUACCUAAUCCAUCUGUUAACCAUUUGGUUAACUAUAACUCACCAACGCAAUCCCUAAGUAUCGGGCCCUAAGCUGCCUCCCGACGGGAUCGUCUACUGGGAAGGCUUAUACGAUCAACCCAGUUAAUGACACACUCCGGAGUGCAUUUCUUGGGGGGAGCGACCACCACCAAGCCAAAACAGAAUAGGUGAGUAUGAUCCAAUCCUCACUUAGAGGAUUCAAUAACUGACGAUGCCACAAUUUAAUUUCUAACUAGCUCUUUAUGCUAGUUUUACAGUUGUAAUAUAGAUGCUAACCAAUGCUUCUAGUCAUAAUGUCACCAAGUUUACUAUAGUCAUAGUCCAUUACUAAUUCAUACAUUCAUAGGGUUCUAUGUCCAUAUUCUAGAAGAAAGAAUCUGGAAAUGAAAAAAUCAAAGAAAAAAUUAGAAAAAGAAAAAAUCAAGAAAAGAAAGAAAAAAUCAGAAAAAGAAAAAGAAUUAGGGUUUAGGGUUUAGGCACCGAUGCGUUUGUUGACCUACCAAUUAGGUUAUAACGAGAUCAAUCCCAAGAUUGAACCUCAAAAUCCAACAACCCUAAAGUUAGGUCCUUGUACAACACCAUCUUUCCCAAUUAAGUCCCUAACAUGGAUAAUCAUGGGGGAAAGUACCAUAGAAGCUCCUAGAUGCAACAACUAGAAGCAAAAACCCAAAACCUAAUUUAAAAUCACAAGAACUCACCGUAGGAGUCCAAAGCUUUCCUUCCAAGUCUUGAUCUAGCAUACUCUACACCUUGGAGAGCUUUUCUCCAAGCUUUUCUCCUCCAAAAGCCCUCUUGGUCCAAGCCCUAGAGAGAGAGGGGGAGAGAUAGGAGAGGUUUUUAGAGAGAGAGAGGGGAAAGGUUUGAGUGUGAGAGUGAGAGCAAAUGAGCUCUGACUCAUGCCCUAGCUCAAAUAACCGUUCACAUGUCACAUUUGCACACAAGCACCUCACUUUUUUAUUUUUGCAAGCAGCCCUUACUGGGCAAUUUCGGGUUCAGGGACCGGUCUCUCCCUUCAGGGAUCGGUUCCCGAGAGCUAUCCUGCAAUCUGCGCAGAAGGGGACCGGUCUCCCCCCGACGCUACCGGUCUCUCGGGACCGGUCUCCCGCCGAAGGACCGGUUCCCGAGAGCUCAAUUUCCAGGACUUAGCCGAUUUUUCACCUCGUUCGGCUGAUCAACGUUCGGGAACCGGUCUCUCACCCAAGGGACCGGUCCCCGAGAGUAAAAUUUCUGGAACUUCUCCAAAAUCGCAGUUUCACUCUCUCGGGUCCCUUUAUACUCUAUAUAUAGGCUCCAAUGCACUUCUAGCCUAUAGUAAUUUAUUCCUUUCCGUGUUUCGCGCAUUUCGACGGAACUCGGCACGACUUACGGGGAAGUAAUACGUUACACUCUAAGUCUUCAAACUUCAAAGAUCCUCCCUCAACCAAGCUCCAUCCAAGCUUCAAGCUCCAUCUAAGCUUCAAGCUUCAACCAAGGUGGAAAAGCCUCCAACAAGCAAAAAAGAGGCUUAAUCUCCUAAAAAUCCAACCAAAAAUCAAGGAAAGAGAUGGGGAGGUGUGGAGGGCUUCCUCACCUUUCUCCUUGCUGGUGCCAAGCUCAGGGGAGGCUCCUAGGGCGUGGGGAUACAAAUAGAGUUGCUACAAUAGCAAUUACACUCCUGCAGAACCGUCUGUUCAGAAUCUGUCACUGCGUACUGGUACACGGGCCCACGUACUAGUACACCUCCCACGAAAAGGCCAAACCCGAGCCUCGGGUUUGCCUCAAAACUGCCUGUGUACCAGUACACGGCCCCGCGUACCGGUACAACCAUCAACCCUGUACUGGUACAGCCAUCAACCCUGUACCGGUACACUGCCCGCUGAAGGCUACCCGAGAGCUGACCAAAAAUCCGACUUUUCUGGUUUUAGUGCUAAGCUUUAAACCUCACUUCUCGGGAUUCGAACAAUAGGUCGGAACACUGUCUACGACCCACCAGAAAGUCUGGAAAAACUCAGAACACAUCCAAUCACUCGAACCUCGCAAUUCGCAAAGGUCUAGUGUGUUACGUUCACCCCUCCUAAAAAGGAGUUUCGUCCGCGAAACUCAAAAGUAAAGUACCUCAAGCCUCCAUCUGAAAAGGAUGGGGAUAGCGCUCCCGCAGUGCGCUCUCCAACUCCCAAAUGGCCUCGCGCUCAUCGUGGUUGCUCCAAAGCACCUUCACGUAGGGAACUCACGGUUCCGCAAUCUCUUCACCUCGCGAAUCAAAAUUCUCAAAGGUUGCUCCUCAAAGCUCAAAUCAUCCCUCAGCUCCAAAGGUGUGGCGUCCAACACGUGAGCCGGAUUAUGGAUGUACUUUCGAAUGACCGAUACAUGAAAGACAUUGUGUACACCCGAUAGGUUCGGCGGUAGAGCGAGUCGAUACGCUACCGGGCCUACACGCUCCAAAACCUCAUACGGUCCAAUGUAUCGGGGGCUCAGCUUACCCCGAAUUCCAAAUCUUCUAAUCCCUCUGGUCGGCGAGACUUUCAGGAAGACAUGAUCACUAAUCUGAAACUUCAAGUCUCGUCGACGCCUGUCAGUAUAACUCUUUUGCCUACUCUGUGCUGUCAACAGUCGCUCCCUAGCAAUGCGAACCUUGUCCUCAGCUUCCUGGAGCACAUCUGGGCCUAAAGCCAAUCUUUCGCCAACUUCACUCUAAUGAAGUGGCGAUCUACACUUCCGUCCAUAGAGUGCCUCGAAAGGUGCCAUCUUGAUGCUUGCUUGAUAACUGUUAUUAUAAGCAAACUCUGCCAUCGGUAGAUGCUGCGACCAUCCUCCCUGGAAGUCAAUCACACAGGCUCGAAGCAUGUCCUCGAGAGUCUGUAUAGUACGCUCUGACUGCCCGUCACUCUGGGGGUGAAAAGCUGUACUGAAGUCCAAGCGCGUACCCAAAGCAUCCUGUAAGCUCUGCCAAAAGUGAGAUACAAACCGGGGGUCUCGAUCUAAUACAAUAUAAGUAGGUACCCCGUGUAAUCGCACAAUCUCAUCUAUACCUAUGCGAGUCUCACACCAGUCCAAGUAGUGUGGAUAGGUACGAAAUGUGCCGAUUUCGUCAAUCUAUCCACGAUUACCCAAAUAGCAUUAUGCCGAUCCUGAAAGUGGGGCAAACCCAUCACAAAGUCCAUGGUGAUCUUCUCCUAUUUCCACACCGGAAUCAAUAAGCUCUGCAAUUUUUCCGCAGGAACUCGGUGCUCAGCUUUCACCUGUUGGCAAGUUAAACAUCUAGCAACAAAUUCACCAACAUCCUUUUUCAUCCCGAACCACCAAUAAAGCAACUUUAAGUCCUUGCACAUCUUGGUGCCUCCCGGAUGUAUAGCAUAUGGUGCUCGGUGUGCCUUUUGAAGAAUUUCUUCUUUAAGUGUCGAUUCCGCCGGUACACAGAUCCGUCCACGGAAGCGCAUCAGUCCAACACCGUCCACAGAAAAGUCAUCGGUGCAACCAUCAAUCAUCUUAGCUCGAAUCCUUUGCAACUCCACAUUGGAGACUUGCUUUUCUUUAAUUCUUUCCACAAGUGUAGAUUGCACCACCAAAGUCAUCAGUCUCUAAGGUGUAUCUGGAGCCACCACCUCCAACUCCAACCGCUUCAUCUGCUCGAUCAACGGCGGUUGAGUAACCACAAGCAUCGCUAAGUUUUUCGUCGAUUUCCUACUUAGCGCAUCCGCCACCACGUUAGCCUUGCCCAGGUGGUAAAGUAUCGUUAAAUCGUAAUUCUUGAGUAGCUCCAACCAUCUGCGCUGCCUCAAGUUCAACUCCUUCUGAGUGAAUAAAUACUUUAAACUCUGGUGAUCCGUAUAUACUUCGCAUCGCUCGCCGUACAAGUAAUGGCGCCAUAACAUCAAUGCAAAGACCACGGCCGCCAAUUCCAAAUCAUGAGUAGGGUAGUUUCUUUCAUAAUCCUUCAACUGGCGAGAUGCGUACGCGAUCACUUUUCCGUCCUGCAUCAAGACACAGUCAAUCCAUUAAAGGAAGCAUCACUAUAAAUCACAUACCCUCCUCCAGCAAUUGGCAAGGUUAGGAUCGGGGCUGUCGUCAAUCUCUGCUUCAACUCUUGGAAGCUCCUUUCGCACGCAUUAUUUCAAACAAACUUGGUGCCUUUAUGCGUGAGCCUCGUGAGGUGUCACGCCCCGAUCCCACCUCUUUGGUCGGAUUCGGGCACGCUAACAGACCGCCGAACGGACAGGGUUUUCCCUGUACCGCGGACAGAGUCUCCCCUGUACGUUCAAGGCGUCGCAAUCAAUACAAUGUACGAAGUUCCAACCAGGAACACAUUUCAACCAAAGAUUGCAUAAGGAAGUAUCAAAAACAUAAAUCUACCUGCUAUUACAAGCAUUCACAUUCAUACAUUUUUACAUCACAAUUCUCAUUUGAUUCUUACAUUAGCUUUCACUUAACUUCCAAAUACAAUCCGAUUUUAACAUAGUUAUUACAACAUUGUUCUUACAAUUAUCACACUCUUGGUUCUUUGCAUUUUAUACCCUAAGAAGCCGACUCAGGGUGCUGCUAUCUGGUCUCAGUGGUAGGGCGCUAACUACGGAGCUACGCCCUUUCCUCGCGCCGCCGCGCCGCUCGCGNNNNNNNNNNNNNNNNNNNNNNNNNNNNNNNNNNNNNNNNNNNNNNNNNNNNNNNNNNNNNNNNNNNNNNNNNNNNNNNNNNNNNNNNNNNNNNNNNNNNNNNNNNNNNNNNNNNNNNNNNNNNNNNNNNNNNNNNNNNNNNNNNNNNNNNNNNNNNNNNNNNNNNNNNNNNNNNNNNNNNNNNNNNNNNNNNNNNNNNNNNNNNNNNNNNNNNNNNNNNNNNNNNNNNNNNNNNNNNNNNNNNNNNNNNNNNNNNNNNNNNNNNNNNNNNNNNNNNNNNNNNNNNNNNNNNNNNNNNNNNNNNNNNNNNNNNNNNNNNNNNNNNNNNNNNNNNNNNNNNNNNNNNNNNNNNNNNNNNNNNNNNNNNNNNNNNNNNNNNNNNNNNNNNNNNNNNNNNNNNNNNNNNNNNNNNNNNNNNNNNNNNNNNNNNNNNNNNNNNNNNNNNNNNNNNNNNNNNNNNNNNNNNNNNNNNNNNNNNNNNNNNNNNNNNNNNNNNNNNNNNNNNNNNNNNNNNNNNNNNNNNNNNNNNNNNNNNNNNNNNNNNNNNNNNNNNNNNNNNNNNNNNNNNNNNNNNNNNNNNNNNNNNNNNNNNNNNNNNNNNNNNNNNNNNNNNNNNNNNNNNNNNNNNNNNNNNNNNNNNNNNNNNNNNNNNNNNNNNNNNNNNNNNNNNNNNNNNNNNNNNNNNNNNNNNNNNNNNNNNNNNNNNNNNNNNNNNNNNNNNNNNNNNNNNNNNNNNNNNNNNNNNNNNNNNNNNNNNNNNNNNNNNNNNNNNNNNNNNNNNNNNNNNNNNNNNNNNNNNNNNNNNNNNNNNNNNNNNNNNNNNNNNNNNNNNNNNNNNNNNNNNNNNNNNNNNNNNNNNNNNNNNNNNNNNNNNNNNNNNNNNNNNNNNNNNNNNNNNNNNNNNNNNNNNNNNNNNNNNNNNNNNNNNNNNNNNNNNNNNNNNNNNNNNNNNNNNNNNNNNNNNNNNNNNNNNNCAUGCAUUUCUAAAACAUGCAUCUAGCUCAUGUUACUUGAAAUUUAACUCAUACAUUUAUCUAGCAUAUGUCUUACAUACUCCUUUAGCGUUUAGCUCUUACAUUCAUUAGCAUACUUUACAUAUAUUUACUUAGCAUCUAGCUCAUGUCGUUAUAUGCAUUUAUUAGCAUCAUUAUGGUACAUUCUUAAUUAGCAUUCUUAUUAUGCAUUCUUACUUAAGAUUCUUAUCAUGCAUCAAUAGUGAAACACACUACACUUUGGCAUGAAGGCGACCUAGUCACUUCGGUAAGCACAACCCACCUCUUAACGCGUUCCGAUUGCUUGUCGUCACUUGCAAUCGGCCUCCCGCGGCACCCGUGACCCGGUUUGGCUCGAACUCUCGCGUGACCACCCGAACGGCCACCAAUCCACGAUCCGUCUGUUCGGGAGUUUAUUCCCUGACACCACGAUGCUCCCGAUCCAUUUUCAUGAUUUUUGGAGGCUUAUUCCGCGUGCUGCGGCUAUCUGUACCAAAACAGACUGUUUCGUCAAUAACUUCGCGUACACUCGUCGGAUUGUCGAACCGAGCGCACUAAUGCGUUCGUUAUACCCCCAAUUAGGUUUAUAGAGGGUCAAUUGAGAUCAAACUUAACUAUUUACAAAAACCCCCUUUUGGAGCCCUAGGUUUGCAUUAUAGCAAAAUCCACCAUUAGAGCUUUGCAUUCAAGCUUUACUCAUCUAUUUAGCAUGCUAGGUUUCCAUUAAAAUCAUCUUUAGAGUAUAAGAACUUAACCCUAAAGAUCUACCAUUAGAGCUCCAAGAAGCUUACCUCAAGAAGCUUGCUCCAUUGCAAUGGGGAAGAAGAUGAGGAUGACUCUCUCCUCCUUGUCUUCUUCUCCUUCUUUUUCUUCUCUUCUCCUUCUUCUUCUCUUUUCCUUCCUCUUUUACUUUCUAGAGAGAGAGAGGGAGAGUUUUGGUGUGGGAGAGUGAGAGAAAUGAGGGAAAGAGAGAAAGGAUCCUCUCUAUACUCUCUCAUAAGUGCCAUUUUGCACUUAAGCCCCUCCACAAUGCUUCCCUCGCNGCUCAUGUCGUUAUAUGCAUUUAUUAGCAUCAUUAUGGUACAUUCUUAAUUAGCAUUCUUAUUAUGCAUUCUUACUUAAGAUUCUUAUCAUGCAUCAAUAGUGAAACACACUACACUUUGGCAUGAAGGCGACCUAGUCACUUCGGUAAGCACAACCCACCUCUUAACGCGUUCCGAUUGCUUGUCGUCACUUGCAAUCGGCCUCCCGCGGCACCCGUGACCCGGUUUGGCUCGAACUCUCGCGUGACCACCCGAACGGCCACCAAUCCACGAUCCGUCUGUUCGGGAGUUUAUUCCCUGACACCACGAUGCUCCCGAUCCAUUUUCAUGAUUUUUGGAGGCUUAUCCCGCGUGCUGCGGCUAUCUGUACCAAAACAGACUGUUUCGUCAAUAACUUCGCGUACACUCGUCGGAUUGUCGAACCGAGCGCACCAAUGCGUUCGUUAUACCCCCAAUUAGGUUUAUAUAGGGUCAAUUGAGAUCAAACUCAACUAUUUACAAAAACCCCUUUUUGGAGCCCUAGAUGCUACUCUAGCAAAAUCCUCCAUUUCGUCUCAUGAAUCAAGCAUGGUUCAUCUAUUUAGCAUGCUAGGAUUCCAUUAAAAUCAUCUUUAGAGUAUAAGAACUUAACCCUAAAGAUCUACCAUUAAAGCUUCAAGAAGCUUACCUCUCUAGGUUUGCUCCAAGGUGAAGAAGAAGAUGAUGGAGGGAAGCUCUCCACUUGCUUCACCUUCUUUUUCCCUUUCUUCUUCUUCUUCUUCUCUUCUCCUUUCCUUUCUAGAGAGAGAGAGAGGAGGCUUUGGUGUGAUACGGUGAGGGAGAGGGAGAGAGAGAGGUUCUAAUCCUCUCUUUACUCAUAACCCAUGCACAAAAUGCCAAUAAGUCCCUCAACAAUGCUUCUCUCGCAACAGCCCGAACUGGGCAUUUUCGGGGUUCGGGGACCGGUCCUUGCGAUGAGAGACCGGUCCCUGAGAGACCGGUCCUUGACUGAGAGACCGGUCCCCGAAGGUCCAGAAAUCAGCAUUCAAGGACUUAGCCAAAUUUUCAGCUUUUUCACCAUUUUCGCUCCGUUUUCACUCGUUUUCGCUCGUUUGACAUCCGAUUCAUUUCAAAUCGAACCGAGACUCUCCAAACAUGUUUUCAAGCAUGUUUUCAUCAUCUUUUCAUCCACGCUAAUGCCAGAUUUAGUCCAUUGUCCAACAUAGCCUUUCGGGUCCCGUUUUCGCGCCCUAUGCGCACCGAAGCACCCGAAUGCUCCCGAACUUCGCCGGAAUGAUUCCAAUAGCUUUCUAAGCUAACAUACAUCAUAACUUCAUGAAUUAGAAGUUCGGUAUAUUACAUGAGGGGAGUAGACAACUUUGCAAAUCCCUCGACAAACCGUCGGUAGUAGCCGGCCAAACCAAUGAAGCUCCGUAUCUCGGUGACACUUGUCAGCGUCGGCCAAUCCUUGAUGGCUUCAAUUUUUCUCGGGUCCACGGCUAUACCUGAUCCUGAAAUCAAAUGACCCAAAACGCCACCUCUCUAAGCCAAAACUCACACUUCUUCAAUUUGGCAUAGAGCUUCUUUUUCCGAAGCACUUGAAGUACAAGUCUCAAGUGUUCCUCAUGAUCUGCAUCACUUCGAGAAUAGACCAAAAUGUCGUCGAUGAAUACUACGAGAACCUGUCUAGAUAAGGCUUGAAAAUACGGUUCAUUAGAUCCAUAAAAGCUGCCGAGGCAUUAGUAAGCCCAAACGGCAUAACAGUAAACUCAUAAUGCCCAUACCGUGUUCUAAAAGCCGUCUUCGACACAUCCUCAGGCUUGAUCUUCAGCUGGUGAUAUCCCGACUGUAAGUCGAUCUUGGAAUACACACUAGAUCCCUGGAGCUGAUCAAAUAAAUCAUCAAUCCUCGGUAAUGGAUACUUAUUCUUAAUCGUGACUUUAUUGAGUUCACGAUAAUCCACGCACAAGCGAAGCGAUCCAUCCUUCUUCUUGACAAAUAGGACCGGUGCUCCCUAAGGUAACACACUCGGUCGCACAAAAUCCUUGUCCAGAAGAUCUUGCAACUGUGCCUUCAGCUCCUUCAAUUCCGCUAGUGCCAUCCUAUAGGGUGCCUUUGAGAUUGGAGUAGUCCCGGGAACGAGAUCUACCACAAACUCAAUCUCCCUGUCAGGUGGCAUGCCUGGUAACUCCGCUGGAAACAAUCUCCAAACUCCCGCAUGACGGGGAUGUCCUCAAUCCUAGGGGCGUCUGCAUCACCCUGCAACACAACAGUAGCCAAGUAGGCCACGCAGCCUCUGCUGAUCAACUGUCUAGCUCGAGAGGAGCUAAUCAUCAUCGCAAACAGCGAACUCUGGCAUCCUCGGUACACAACCUCCGCUUGCCCCGGCUCUCUAAACGUCACAGUUCGAUUCUUGCAAUCAAUAGUGGCGUAGUACUUGGUCAACCAAUCCAUGCCCAAAACAACAUCAAACUCUCCGAGUUUAUGGAAAGCUAGCAAGUCCACGGGCAUGACCCAAUCUCCAACUCGAACAGGGCAACAGGGGCAAAACUCUCGAAUAUCCAAAGAGUGAUCGGGUACUACAACUCGUCCCGGAUGCAGCAAAAAUGUCAGUGGGAUGCCAUGCAACUCGGCAAACAGCCGGUCUAUGAAUGAAUGCGAUGGACCGGUAUCAAAUAAUUCUCGAACUCGAAUACCAUAAAGUAAAAUGAUACCUACAACCACAUUCUCAGCUGCUGCCGCCUCCUCAGUCUGGGCCGCGUACAUGCGCUCACUCGGGGCCUGUCGUGACCUCUUCGCCUGCCGCUGCACUCGCGGCCGUCCAGCCUGGUGAUGCGCAGAAGGUGUCCCCUGGCUGGGACCCGGUAAAGCUGGUGCAGAUGCCGAAGAUGGCGCUGGUGCUAGGCCCCAUAGGCAGUCCGACUGGAAGUGGCCCUCCUGGCCACACAGGUAGCACCUGCCCCGACUGCGUGAACACUGCCAUGGAAAAUGGGGACCACCGCAGAUCACGCAGCGCGGAGCCUGGCGUCGAUCAGGUCCCCCCCGCUGUGUAGACUGGCCACGUCCUCGCGACUGGGUCCGGUGUCUCGGAUGUCUCGGCGGCCUCCCUGAGUGCGCCUGACUCGCACCCUCAACCGCGGGCCUCUUGCCUUUGCCUUUGUCCAAGGCCUCUCGCCGCUCCUGCAGAUCUGCUGCUCCACUCUCAACUAUGAGUGCGCGGUUCACAACCUCCCGGUAGGUUUGGAGGUUGGAAGACUGAACGAACCGAAAGAUCGAAGGCCGCAAUCCCCGCUCAAAGAUGCGGGCCUUGUCCUCGUCGUCCUGAACAACGAAGGGCACACAAUGAAGAAGCCGGGAGAACUCUCUCUCGUACUUAGCCACCGUCCUGUCCCCCUGGCGCAGGUUGCGUAGAUCUUGCUCCAUCUUCCUCUUGACACUGUCAGGGAAGUAAUGCUCCAGUAGGAGUUCCUUGAACCUCCUCAAAGAAAUCGCCGUCAGAUCCGUGCUGAGGUUGUCCUCGAUGUCCAACCACCAUCUGUAGGCCUCGCCGUCCAAAUGAUGUGUGGUGAGCCACACUCUAUCCUUUUCCUCAACGAAGGUAUCCCGAAACAGCUUCUCCAUAUGCAUAAGCCAUUUCUCCUCGAUCCAGUGAUCCACGUUCUCCCCGUCAAAGGUCCGGGGGCUGCAUCUCCUGAACUCACAGAGACGCUCCAUAAGCCGAUCCCGCUUAGCUCCCUUAACCAUCACGGGGAAAAUCGCCCCCGCUACAAAUACUCGCGCUGGUGGUGCCGCGAUGUCCUCUCCCCGAGAUGCCACCGCUGGUGCCGUCCUAGAAGCGUCGAGUGCAGGGGACGACACCCUAGGCGCGACCACCUCUACUGGUGCGGGUGGUGUAGGGAUCUGAGUCUUCCUGGCAGCCGCAUGCUACAGCAGAAGGUCCUCCAGGCGCUUCAUCCGCACCUCCUGUCGAAGCGCCGUGUCCGCCUGUCGCGUCACCAAAUCAGUGAGGGCUGCCAGCUAGCCCCUCAACUCACGGACCUCGCUGGAUCCGGAGGUAGCGGAGGUCUCAGCCUCCUCAAAUUGUGCCGCAUUGUCCGCCCCCGCAGAUUGAGAGCGCGUAAUCGGCAUUGUCACUACAAAACAUAAAAGCGCAAGUUAGUAACCCGCGCUAUCGAAUCCCCGCUCAAAUAACAAUACCCAAAUCAUGCGAAAGUAAGGAAGUGUUAUCCACAACUAACUCCCGAUGUUACAUUGUCGGCCGCCAACGUAACCCUCCGCGAAGUUAGAAGCCAUACACUCCGAUUAAACUCUAACUUUUUAGAGUUGUCAUAAAACCCAAUCAUAAUACUUUCGCUCACAAGUCAAAUAGACCUCGUCUCUCGCGAGCCUAUUUCCUAUAGUCCAACCGGCCUAAGGUUUGCUAGGUCCGCUAAGACUCAACCCUAGGCUCUGAUACCAAUUUAAUCUGUCACGCCCCGGGACCGGCAGAGGCCCUCCCGGUAGCGCGCCCAGACCCGCCAUAUGUCUACACAUAUAAGGCGUCUACAACAACAGCAGAAAUAAAGCAAGAGAUGAUUCGCAACUAGAGAUAUCAGAGCAAAUACACAACUAUAAUCUAUAAUAAGAGUAGAUGGAACAACUAAGUAAUAAAGAGGAAACAUAAAGUUAUACAAUAACCAUCUCAAAAGUACACAAAAUGGGUGGUCUCUAUUACACUGGUACAGCUCUCAACCUCUCCAAAAAGAAAACAAUGAGAGGUCGACCACCUAUCAAGGCGUCCUUCGAAGCCAAGCUAACUUGAGGCGAUACCCUUUCCGCGGUCCCUAGCCUCUCCCGGCGUGGAAGGCUUUGAAAUGACAUCAAGAAAAAGAGGGCGUGAGAACUAUAAUUUAUAGUUCCCAGUGGGCAAUUACUGACCCCAGCUCAAUGCACCACUAGGCCCCAAAAGAAAAGGGUAAGUCCAAAAAGCAACAAUAAUAAUAAAUGGAUUGCAUUUAUGGAAGCAUGAUUAAAAUACUAAACUACUAUGUCGCAAAUAAACAUGAUGUCAAACGUGUUGUACAUCUACUUUAUCAAAAUGAAGUAUGUCCAAGCAUGACUAAUAUGUCCCAACAUAACGAGCAAGUAGGUAUCAUGAACCACUAUAUCAAUGUAUGAUGAAUAUGCUCUAUCAUGGCAGCAAAGUAUACUAUGAUGCAACAAAUAAGACUAUCAUGUAUACUACAAGUCCCAACACUAUGUUAUAAGCAUGUCAAGGUAAUCAAACUACUAAGCCUAUCUAGUAGUGAUAGCCAUUUUCCGGUUCAAUGUCAUUGUUUCCAACAUGUUCUAGGACCUACAUAGUGUAGUCCAGCUUGUGCCACCUAAGUGUCGGUGGUAGCUCUAGCAUUCCCGCUCUAGGAAUGAGUCUAUCCCUCCCGACCCCUUAGGUUUCUCGAUACCGCACGAGCGAGCAUAAGUCGCGUAGGCCAACUCCGGAGUGUCGGUUUGUAGGGAGCGACCCUCACAAGCAUGUGCGAAUGAACACAAAUGGCAAACAAGCGUAAUCAUCGUCUCAAGUACCCAAUCAUCAUUGCUCUAACAUGGUAUUAGUCACUAGCAUCUCAUCGAUCUAGCUCUAGGUUACAAUGUGAUGUUCCAACACUCACUAUGCUUAGUGCCUCUUCAUGACACUUAAGCUUGAUAUAAGUUAAGCACAUUUCAUAUUCUAUGUUCUAUUCAUGACAUUAGUACUAGGUUCUCAUUUAACCCGAGCUCAAUGCCCCUUUAUGGCAUUAGCUCACUAAUUCACAAGUCAAAUUAGUCCAAUGCCGCUUUAUAGCAUUAUAAUAGUUUCAAUAUUCGAUUGAGGUUUAAGUCCAUAGGCACUUUACAUAUGUCAUUUCUACUAGGUAAACAUGAACCCAAGUCUCUCAUAAGAAUGCUAAUGCACAUAUACGCCUCACAUGCAAGUUCUCUACUUCAUAGAGGUCCGAAAAUACAAUGUAUAAAACAUAGGCAUUUUAAGCAUUCUAAAAUUCAUAAAUAAUACAUCUAACAUAAUUAUGCAUGCUUUUUCAUUUAACGAUACUCAAUUCAUCACAAAUGAGAUUUUCUCAUUGUGUCGCUAGGUCAAACCCACCGAACCGUCUCGGAAUCCUUCGUUUCGCCGAACGGAGUUGUCUACAAGUCUCUAAGUACCCUAAAAGUAAGGAGCGAAGAGAUAAACAAAUGUUACGAGCAACUCUAGGCUCAGACAUUAACCACCACAAGCAAAGGGGCAAAAACUCACCUAGGGAGCAGAAAAUCUCUCUCAAGCUCCAAAAGAGAGCUAGAAUCCUUCCAAUCUAACCUAAAGAAAGGUUCUAAUCCAAAAAAUUGAGCUCCAAAAGCCCUAGAUCCAAAAUACCCAAAAUCUACCCUAAAACCUCAUUCUAGGGUUUCAUCUCAAAGAAUCUAUCAAAACAAGAAUCUAAAUGAAAGAAACUUGUUACCAACCGCUUGGAAGCUUCAAUCCAAGCUCUAAGUCUUCAAACUUCAAAGAUCCUCCCUCAACCAAGCUCCAAAUCAAAGCUUCAAGCUUCAACCAAGGUGGAAAAGCCUCCAACAAGCAAAAGAGAGGCUUAAUCUCCUAAAAAUCCAACCAAAAAUCAAAGAAAGAGAUCGAGAGGUGUGGAGGGCUUCCUCUCCUUUCUCCUUACUGGUGCCAAGCUCAUGGGAGGCUCCUAGGGAGUGGGGAUACAAAUAGAGUUGCUACAAUAGCAAUUACACCCCUGCAGAACCGUCUGUUCAGAAUCUGUCACUGCGUACCGGUACACGGGCCCGCGUACCGGUACACCUCCCACGAAAAGGCCAAACCCGAGCCUCGGGUUUGCCUCAAAACUGCCUAUGUACCGGUACACGGGCCCGCGUACUGGUACAACCAUCAACCCUGUAAUAUACCGUAAAUUCGGAAAGUGAAUAUCGAACUUUAGUCGAAUUGACCAAAGUGCGAGGAUGGAACACUUCGGAGAGUCCGAAGGUGUUAAAAUGAUCAAAAGUGAGUUGUGGGUAAAUGUCCGUUAUGUAACAGUAAAUAAGGUCUGAAAGAAAUAAAGAUCAAAGUAGCAUACUCCUACAUUUACAAUGACUAAAGGUUUUCGGAAGAGCUAAAGUAGCAAAUUCAAAUUCUGCAACAAGCUGAAUCUUCCAGCAGAUUUUCAGCUUCUCGGGACCUGCCCUCCCCUGUAGGGAAAUUAGAUGACCAGGGAUAAGUCGCACACAACCGAGUUAACACGUAUGAAAAUGAGACUAUGACUUGGCCAAGACACGAAAAAUCGCUAAAGUCGCUGAGAGUAUAGUUUCCGAACUCUUCGGAAAAGCCCUCCAGGUCCCGCGCAUCUAAUCCUACCAUGUCCUGAAAGACGUCGCUGUCCCCGAGAGACGCAUUCCCCUAGAGGAGAGAGCCAAGGUCAGUUCCACACUGCGCGGCGUCAAGACUACUGCACUUGGCGCUAAGGCGACGAACUAGUCGGAACCGUCCUGAAAGAGAGACACGGUCCCCGCUAGCGCGAUAUUGUCCACCAGUUCGGCGCAGUAUUAAAGUGUAAAUUCAAGGUUUUAUUGCAUUUUUAUUGUGCAACCCAUUGUGAGUCUUAUGUUUUUUAUGGUGGAUAAUGAAAACUUAGGAGGGUGGCUUUUCCUCGUCUAAUGCAAUUUCUUGCUCUAUUUAAAGCCAUACCCUCAAAUCAAAACUAAGCAGAAAUGUGAUAUGAAGAGGCAUCUCAAACACUCUCUUAACUCUAUUCAACCCAUCACUAUUGGCGUCGAGUCUCUCUAUAUAAAAAAAGACAUUUAAGGAGAAGAGAGGACAAAAACAAGGAAACGAAGGAAAAAAGAGAAAAGAAAAAGGAGGGAAGAAAAGAAGGAAAGUGAAAGACUAAUAAGCCACUCGUCCCUGAUACAUUCACACACAUUAGCCGCUUCGAGACAAGAAGAAAGAUUACUAGAGUAGAAGCUCUAUAACCCUAAAUCAUCGUAGAACUUACUCUAGGGUUUGGAUAAGCUUAAAAUGGGUUUUAUGGAACACAUUUUGAGUAUUAUGAACGCAUUUUUCUUAUUGCUUCUUCUGUUUGAGAUCAAGACCAUAAAUGGUGAACUUUGAGCUGAGCUUCAUCACGCGCCGUCAAUCGAGGUGAACAUACCCUUAGGGUAGUCUGAGUUGCAUAUAAGAUGGUUCUAAUAUCUCGAACUUCUUAGAGUAUAAUGAACGAGUCACUUUGUCCCACAUUCUCUACUUAGAGAUCAACACCCUAGGUUGGAUAUACUAUUAGGAGCCAUAGGUUGGCAUCCCAUAAUUUCGGCGGCUUUUGCUCAUUCGAAGAGGUUCUGAAGGCAAUUGACUGCCUGUCGUAGAAACACGCUAAAUUCGGCAAGAUGGUAUGUCCAACCUCAGCGUGGGUGCGCUCAGAAUAGCAUUACGAAAAGGCCGACGAAAAGUUAAAGGGCAAAAUGGCCUAAUAAGGGUUCGCAGCCGCAGUAAUAGAACAAAUGGAGUCGAAAAUCCCGUAAGAAAAUCGUCGAAGCACCUUUGGGAAGCCUACGACCGUGGUGUCUUUUAAACCUCAUUGAAAUUCUCUCACUAUGCCUAAUUGUGUUCAUUCUCGUGAGCAUAAAUGUUCUAUUAUAUUUGCAUUGCAUUGUAUUAGGGUAAUGUACAUGGCAUAAAUGCGGAUGCAGUCGGAAUAUUGUCGAGGCACAAAACUUGCAUAAUGACAUGGUUAGAAUGGCUAAAUUAUAUCUGUCACACAUAACACCUUCGUAAUCAUAGACUCUGUCAUCGCAUGCAGCAGAAAUGUAGUACAAAAGGAACCCAUCACUUCAUAGAACUGAUCCAUAAAAACACGAAGUGGCACUAUGACAUAGAUCGAGUGGCAUUUAAAAUGUAAACGUAAACAGAGACACUUAAUUGAGGGUAGUGUCGAAUUGUCAAACACGUACCAAAAGUCAACUGUAAAGAAGAUGAAAAUACACAAUGUUUAUAAGUAAAGUACAUAGUGGCGACGCAAGAAUAAAAACACAGUAUUGUCAACGAAACAAGCAUGCUAGAGCUUAGGCCAAAGAGUAAAGAAAUGUAAAAGAAAGUGAUUGUGAAUGAAGUUUGCAACAUAAAAGUGAGUGUAGAAGAACACUAGAGCUAGUGAAAUCAAGAUUGAACUUAUAAAUCCUUUGAGUAAGGAUAUGAAUCAUACUUGCUCAUGAGUUCCGUGCUCCGAGCGGUGCUCCCUCGGGCGCAUGCGUCCGGAGUUAUGGCAUUCCGUUGGAUAAACCCCGUAAGGACGGUCCCCUAGCGCGUCGAGUUCGCUGCGAUGAUGGAUUUAACUGUGAAGCAAGUUAAAGCGGUCGAUAACCCCGGGUUACCCUUGAGAUUAAGAACAAAGAACAAAGAGCAAAGAAUAAAGAACAAAGUACAACAGUAAAGUCAAAGAACGAAUCGAGCUUAUAAUCUGGGCAUCUAUUCAAUUGUCUGACAUAACUUCUUGCUUAUUGUUCAGGGCAUAUUAAGUAUUAUGUUAUAGAUUGGUUACUAUACAGAUUAUUCUUUCUAUUUAGCCUGGAGUUAAGUGCCUAGUGGCGAGGAAACUAUAAUUAAAAGUCGGCUCUGAUGUUGAGGCGCAGAUAGUAGACCUAGAACCCACUGGGGGAUUUAAAUUUGAUUGUAGUACACCGGCCGACAUAAUUUUCCACACGCAGUCCGGUAACUGCGGUGUCCCGAGAGCGAUCCGGCGAUCCCCCGUUUUUGAAGCUCGAUCUCGACCUCUCAAAAGCGCCGAGGUACAAGGUAUCUAUCAGGCGCCUGGUUAAGUAAAGUGGAGCGACAACCAAACGUUGGGUACAUUUGUUAGCAACACCCUUUUAUCACUUUUGUUAUUUGAUGAUUAAGCAAUGCUAAAGAAAAGAAUGUAAAGCUUUAUUUUGAGCGUAAAUGUGUAUGUAAGAAAGAGAAUGAUGAAAUUAUGUAAUAGAAUGGAAAGAAUCUUAAGUUUUAGAGAUGGAUGCAAUGUAUAUGAUCCACAACGAAUCAUAUUACUGGUAGAUUUUAAUUUCCUUUCUUUCACUAAUGGGCCCUAUGUGGCUGUAGAAGCCUCGCGGAUUACCGGCUGAGGCGACGCGGUUCUGUGUUUUCCGCGCCUACCGCUUACUUAAUCUUUUCGGAAUUGAAAAUGUACACGCGUGUGAUGAGCCUUGGGCCGUAUACGGGGAAACUCUGUCCGUCUCGACGUUGUUGGAGCUGUGCUCGGCGUCGCCUAAUUGGUACGGGUCCGGGGCGUGACAGGAUAAGUUGUAUCAGAGCAAAUAGUGACAAGAAUAGAAUGGACCUAGAACCUAUAGGAAUUGGACAGGCCUUAAGGAUCUAGAAACGUGAGUGACCUGGAAUCAGUUAGCGAAAGCAUCGUGAUUGGGCUUAAGUUGGAUAGCGCUUCUAAUGUGAUUAAGAGGCUAAGUUUUAAUUUCCGUGUUAUCCUCUACUCUAUCGUGUUGUGUGGGGCAGGCCACGGCUCAUGGCGAGUCCCGGGACCGAUCAUACGCUGAGGGGCAAGGAUGAAUGCGUGCAUCAUGUUGCUUGCCUCAUUGGGUACAUAUUGGUUCAAAGUAAAGUUUGGGUGCAAACUCUGCACUAAUUCGAGUUGCUUCUUUUCAGGAAGCCGAUUGGCACCUCGAACCGUCCGAUCAGCAGAAAGGUCGAAUGCCGGAGGAACGAACUGCGGUGCCCGAGCAAUCGCCGGAGCAAGUGGCACGGAGAGCUUAGGGGAGCUAAAUCGGCCGCUCUUAUUGGAGGUGUGCGGCAGUCAACAGAGUCUUUAAGCGCCACAGGGGAUAAGAUUCAGCGGCUCCAGGAGUACCUUAAGCGCCACCGCAGGCGCCGGCAGCUCAGGCGGGCCGUCGAGCGCAUGUCCCGCCACCGUGGUAGUGCGCAGUGUUGUUGAGGAGCGGCGGCACGCAGCGGCCGUUCUAGUUACAGUUCGUGCCGGCGCGGCGUCGGAACUUCGAAAAUCCGCGAUAGUCACGGCAGUCCGACUUGCGCGAGCCGAGAGCCGCACAUUGCGCCGCUUAUACAGUUCACGAAGUUCGAUCCCACUACCCUCGAGGGUGGUUGGUGGAAGCCCAGCCAGCUUGGAGGUCGUGAUCGACUCAAUGGAGACCUCUUCGAGAUCUCCAAUACUCGAGAACGGAUACAAUGUACCUCCGCCACUUCAUUGUCUAGAGAAAGCGCAAACGGUGUGGUGGACAGCGAGUGAAAGCGGAAUCGUCCGUACCGAUCCGCUUAGCUUUGGGAGGAGUUCAAGAAAGCGGUAUUCGCCGAAAGAUACUUCCCCGACACUGUGAAGGCGCAGGCUACAAGAAAAGUUUCCGCAGUGAGACGGGCGAUCGAUCAUCGGUGGGACGGUAUGAGCAGAUCUCUCCACAUUAUUGAAUGCGUUCCCGGACGUUCGUCGUGGAUGAUCGGGAGCCGGGCGGAUGUGGUUCUUGCGAGGACUCCAACCCCGGAUAUGAAAAGGCUGCAUGAUGCGAAAGUGUUUUUCCCCCCCCGACCCUUUGCGGAGGUCUUCGAUUAGAGCCUUGUGGGCGGGAGCACGGUAGCCGGCCCAUCGUCCGAAAGCGAGAGCUAUGCCGAUGUCCAAGGACACUUCUCUGAGGGCAAGAGUAAGGACGGCGGGUGUCGCCCGCAACGGCGACGGCCAAAUGCUAGAAACCCUCCCGUAUCUCCCGACAGCAAGCCGAGGAACUGACGACCACCCGCAUGCUCAUAUGUGGCGGUGAGCACAAGGUGUAUUGAACCAGCGAGACGCGCAAAUGUUUCAUAGUUGGUCCCAACCGGACAUCUUAUCCGCGGUAGUUGCCCCUCCGUAUCGUCGUCUGGCGGCCGCACGGCUGCAUCAGCACCGUCCUAACCCCGAGACAUGCUUGCGGGUUGCCACCCAAGCGAUGUCGGCUGGGCGCCGCCGUCAUCAACCGCUCAAGGCCCGCGAGGGACUCCUCCGGAGAGCGCGGCGGAGCUCCUGAGUUGCCGGCCUGACCUCUUUGCACGCGUGCCAGGUGGAGGCGGCGCGAACGGGCCGAGAGGCGAGACCUGGCGCCGCGUAGUCGACACUCCCGCCCGAUGGCCGAGCACCCGUGGUCGUGGGCGACGGCGAAUAUAGCGAUUGGAAUUUAGACAAGGCGUGGCACGAGACGCUAGAGCUAGGUUUUGAUACGGGCGCAUCACCACACUUGCAUGCCGUGGUUCGCGCAUUCUGGCGCGGGUCAGGUGUUCAGGCGGAUGAGGGGUCCUGGUCAUUAAGGGUAGUCAGAGCCGUUAUGGGUUUAGGGUUUGGGUCCAUGGCGAGGUGGAGUCUCGAAAUCGUGUUGGGUAGUACCGUUUUGUUCGAACUGUAUCGCUAAAGGACGACUCAUCAUUGCGCCAAGCUACACGAAGAAUGGAUUAUUAACGUUCUGUCAUGUUUAGUGCAUUAUUUUUUGUUUUAGGGCGGCUUACGCUCCACGAGCAUUUCAUGUCAGGGUCCAAAGCGAGUGUUUGGCGUCUCAGUGAGCAAAUAAGCGAUUGGAUUAUUCGCCGGAUUGAUCUGCGCAUAGUGGCUAAGAUCAGCUGUUUUGAUGGUGGUGGAUGAGGACUUUUCGAUCCGCAACUGGUGAUAUAAUCAUUUAAUGGAACCACCACUGGGAUCUCCAAGAUAUCUUACGCUGUGUGAUAGUAAGUAAAUUGUAGGUAAAGCAAUAGGUGAAUACACAUUUUAUGUUGUUGAGCCUAAUUCACAGAAGGAUGACUAAUCUAUCCCAACUAGCGUGGGCAAGAAAUUAGCGCCUUAUAUGUAACAAACAAAUUAAUAAAUAAAUAAAUCAAAAUGUGUUUUCUUCAAUCGAGGUUCAAAUAAUGUAUGAGAGGCGACUUGAUUAAAAGAAAAAUAUUGACCAGAAUUAUCAUUCUUUAGUCCUCGUUAAGGGCCCGGAUAUAUCAAAUUUAGAGAAAUUGAGAUAUCAAUUUAAGCGGUGGAUUGUAAGCCUACCUAUUGGCCCAACCAUCGGUGAUCCUGCCGUCAGGGACACCUCAGACUUGGAAGUAUCCGGGUUGCGUGUGAGUUUCCGAUGUGCUUUCGGCGGGAGUACCUCAAAUUUCAGUGAAAUUAUCGCCUAUAUAAAACCGAACUUUUAAUUUUUAUCUGAUUUACAGCUAAGCCGGAAAAAGUCGAGUUUGGUUAUUACAUAUUUUAAUUUUAAAAUGACUCUGAAUUAUCACCUAGCGGGACUUUGUUGUAUUAGUUACAGCAGAACCAGUUUCGAAUUACGUUAAUGCUAACCGUAAAUUAGAAUCUGGCUAGCAUCCGGUGGAGUUAUAACAAUUGCAGUCUUAAAAGGUUUCAAUUACAAGACUUGCUAAGUCAAAGACGUGACAUUCCGUACUGAGGUUAUUAAACAUACCAGAUAGUGUAUGUCAUACGCUGAUGUGUGAGAGAACUUCCUGUAGUGCUAAUAAGCUCACUGACAGUUAGAGAAAAAGGAUCGUUUAAGCAACACCUUCGACUAACCCUCACUCGCGUAGAUAAUCACGCGAAGUUAAACAAAAGAUAAACUCGGUAACAAAAGAAACUUAAGGUAAAAACAUUCGAGUUGCAAGGAUUGACGAUCUAGCUUCGAUCAGUUGUUCAGAUAAAUUUGGCAUUCAAAGGGUCAAAGGUGUAAUUGAAAAUUAUCCAAUUUUAAAAUUAAGUCAAUCGGGGUUAUCGGAAUUUAAUUAAAGAUUCAGAGCGCAGACCACCACCACUCAUCCGAAGGAUUGCAACGUAAUCAACGCGGUGACCGUAACCCGGUAUGCCAUUAUAGCUUCACGGUAAUGCCGUUUGGCUUACUAACGCCCGCCCCCGGCAUGUAAGUUUUGGCUUUUAUAGAGCUUGUAUUUUGAAUUACUGAGCGUCUUUAAGGCCCGUUGUUGUGAGAUACGCAUAAACGUUUCUUAAAUGCCAUAUUUUACCUAUUUUUGGUAUUAGAAUAUAAAAUUAAAAACUUGCUAUUCUUUCGUGGUGUUUAUAGACGACUGUUUUGGUUUACUUGAAAAGUGAAGGGAGCGAUAACACGAGAAGAAGCACAUAAAUUCUAUGAGAGGCGUGUUGCGGCAUUGAUACUCAGAUUCAAGAGAGCGUUCAUGUCUAAAAAUAAAAAUAUGUGAACUUUUGGUGUUGUGCUACAAGGAAGGUCACAAUUCACUUAAAAGUGUGAAAAUUAUGAUAGGUUCUUAAUAGUGGUUAUCCGGGCGACACUCGGAGUUUCGGUAGACGCGAAGAAAGUAGGGCAAUUAAAGAUUGGCCUCGCGAGAUUUAUAAUCCAAUAGACGAAAUGUGAGGCGAGAUCGCGCAGCAGUUUAUCGUUGAGAGCACUGUUUCGGGCGGAUGCUACUCAAGUAUAGCACGGAAUACAAUUUGAAACAAGCAUAAUUACUGCGUUGUUGUUUUCUGUGCACGAUGUUCGGACCAAAAAAUCAUAACCACGUGCCGCUAGAAAAUUUUUCAAUAUCAUUCCCCGCGCCUUACACAUAAGGAGUAAGUACUGUGGAAGCGACGAUUGCGAUCCGACAGCUGAAGGGUAAUUCAAGUAUACCAGAGCAGGCUUGACCUCGACACUCUUCACUUUAGUAUCAUACUGGUCUUUUAAAGGUCAGGUGCUUGCCUUGCCAAACUCCGGAAGACUUUGUAGUGUAUCCAAAGUUAAGUGAUUCGGCUCUCUGUAAGUCUUAUGUUAGGUCUCUUUUAUUUGGUGGUAUGUCGAUUUAUUUCAUCAAGAUAUCGGGGUCAUUGCUUAUCGCACGCGCCAGUUAAAGAGUUAUAGAAAAAAGUACCCAAUUUCACGACCUCGAGUUAGCCUGCGGUGAUUUCGAGCGCUAAAGCUUGAGCAUUACCGUGUAUGUGAACAUUGUGAGUAUACAUCCGAUCAUAAGCACGUUAAGAGUAACCAUUGUUCACCCCAGAAAGAAUUGAAUAGCGACGCGCGGUGGUUGGAGUUGCUACAUAGUUCUUUUUAUCUAUGAUGGUCACCAUAUAUUAAAUCAUCUGCACUCGUUAAAUUAUAUACCCAAAAAUUCAGAUACCGAAAAGCCAAUGUCGUGGCCCGAGCUCUAAAGUGAAAAUCGGCCGGAGAACUUAGCGAACGGCAAUUGCGCCUCAAGCACUAUUUAAAAGGAAAUAAACGUUGGGUGGGAAGUGGUUCCAGCGCCGGGAGUGCCGCUACAUUGCCACACUAGUUUGUGCAAACCGACCCUAUUUGAAGAGAAAUCCAAAAGAGUUAGCACAGCUUCGAUCUUUUUCUCAAAAGGCUUCAAGAUGAUGUGAGAAACGUAAGCCGAGGAUUUUAGUGUUGGAGGUUAUGGCGGGCACCUUCGAUUUUCGAAAUCGAUGGUGUGUACCAAAGGAUGGGGAGUUUGCCGAAGGACAGAUCAUGCAAGACACGCACAAUCUCCUUAUAGUAUAACACCCCGCGGCACUAAAAUUGUAUCAAGGACUUGAAAGAGGCAUUAAUUGGGUGGCUCGGCGCUUAUGAAAAAAGAUAAUCGGGAGUUUGUGGCGCAAUGUUAUUAAAACAGGCCAGCAGUUAUAAGCAGAGCGCGAUUCCCCGCGGUGAAAGCUAGCAAGUCUACCAGUAACCCCCCGUCAGCUUAUGGGAAAUUUGGUAGUCAAGAGCCACAUACAAAUGAAUCAUGUUACCUUAUUUUUACGAGCGUUGCCUGCCGAUCACAAGGCGGACACCGAUGCGAUACCUGGGUGAUCAGUGGACUCGAUGACAAAGUCGGCUACACUUCCUUGCCGAACUACAGUAUCUACUUAGGCUCGUUUUAACUUUAUCACUGAUUGAUAGACAGGCAUCGAAAGCGCAUAGUAUUAUCUCAAAUUGACCUGAGGGGUUGAUUGCCACUUCCAGGGGCCCGCCAGUAUCGAUGAAAUUGUGUCAGAUACGCUAAGACCCCAGGUUCACAUCCCAAAAGAUAACACACACACUUUUGUGAAGGAAGUAUUGCCAAGACCGCGUACAGCACACCACGGCACAAGAUCACUCCUAUACAGACGUGUGCAGUUUUUUCAUACCUCGACAGACAGUGAAUGCGAACAACUUCUAGUAGACAAUGACAAUACGAUACGAAUAUACUUAUGAAGGAAUUUAACUUCCUGCAGCAUCAAAGGUGUGCAUUAACAUGGUUAGACAAAUAAGCAGGCACUGGCAUGAUUUCUUGCUAGUGAGCGGGAGGUUGUUGCCAUAGUCAAGUAAUUAGCUACUCCUAUUUGACAUAAAUUUUGAAAUGAUUAGUCAUAAGAAGCGGCCCUACUAUUUUAGGAGUCAUCACUAUAAUUUAUCGUGGAUCGUAUAUGAGUGUCGUAGUCACCAAUUUUAAAAACCAUUAAUUUACUAUUCCAUUGGAGCGACGUGUGGCGCAAGAGAUGAUGCUAAAUUUGAACAUCUUGUGGAUCCCCUGAUGUGGGGCGGGAGGCGGAAAGAGGUAUAGAGUCCGCCACUUGCCCUCAACAACUUGGGCCAUAUUUGCCCAUGUUUGGCUGAUGGCUGCAAAUACUACGUCCAAAAAUAGAAGUUAUGCCGAAAAGACGGCGAAGGAAGAUUUGAGAGCUCGCUAUCGAGUUGGGUUUGGGAGACCUCUGUUAGUGAGUCUUGAGCAGGUGUUCCGCCGAUCCGUUUAUGAGAUGUUGAAAGUCCAAAGACGAUCUACAUGAGGAGAGUCCGAUGGGAAAAUGCUAUAGGGUCACCGUUAUGCCAUCGGCAACAACGUGUUUCAGAGAUAUUGGUUAAGCGUGUGUUGAAGCUUUAUGCGUAUGGACAUACAAAGCUCCGCACUACCACCACUUACUUACAGAAACUUAGUAUAUUUUUUCGUUUUUUUUUUUUUUCAAAAUUAACUUUUGUGCCAUCGUGAGACUACAUCGAGUAGUCUCACCAAUGAUGUUUCAUGUGUCAGUAUCCUCGUACAAAUAUAUUAAUCAUUACCGAACGCGACACAAUGUAUUGAGUAAGUUGAGCCCGCGUGACACGUGAGAUAGCUCCUAGCGAGGAGUACCUCCCGGUGUGCAUCCUCGAGUCGAGAAAGUAAAGAAUUGCGAAAGCAUGAUAACAAUACUCUAACUAUGCAAGAUCCUAUCACAUUUAUGCUGAAAAAUUCCAGUGCUGCACGACCAUGAAAUGUCGAGCAGCCACUUCGGCAGCGUCGAUGGAAAGAUAUGCGCGAUGUAGAUAGACGCUAUCACUAAUUAUGAUAUGUUCAGAACCGUAUAACAAGCGUAGUGAAGAGUGCGUAGAAUUUCGAGCCAUGAAUUAAACAAUAAAUUAAAAUUUAGCGAAAUUAUUUUAAAGGGAAGUAGUAUGAACUGUAAUAUAUUGUUAUUACGUAAAUUCUGUGUAAAUGUUGAAUAUCUGAAUCUUUAGUCUGCAAUGUUGACGGCAAAGUGCGAGGAUGGCAAUACUUUGGAGCGAGUCCGAACGGUGUUUAAAAUGAUCAACAGGGAGUUGUGGAAGAUGUUCAUUAUUACACUGUAAGGNNNNNNNNNNNNNNNNNNNNNNNNNNNNNNNNNNNNNNNNNNNNNNNNNNNNNNNNNNNNNNNNNNNNNNNNNNNNNNNNNNNNNNNNNNNNNNNNNNNNCUCCUCUCUUGCAAGCUCCAAGAUCAAGCCUCCAAGCACCAACAAGGUGGGAAGAGAAGGAGAGGAAAAUGCUCCAAGUCCUCAAGCUAGAUUCUCCUCCUCUUCUUCUCCUUCUUCUUCUUCUCUUCAUUUUUCCCCUUCUUCUCUCUAGGGUGUUGGGAGAAUGAGAGAAUGAGAAAUGAGAAAAGGGAGAGGGUGAAAUGGCCAUAUAGGCCAUCAAAUGCAACAAAAUCCAAAGAGGCCCCUCAAUUUCCCAAUAUUGCAACAGCCCGUACUGGGCAGUUUUCGGACUGAGGGACCGGUCUCCUGACAUGGGACCGGUCUCUCGGCCUGCCCCGAAAAUCCAACGUUCGGGAACCGGUCUCUCCCCGCAUGGGACCGGUCUCUCCCCGCGUGGACGCGCUCGGGGACCGGUCUCACCCGCCAGGGACCGGUUGCCUCAAGGCUGCCGCAAUACUAUUCCGGGGGGGACCGGUCUC